GGCCGACGAAAGCCGCCGAGUCCACGAGUCCUUGUAUCGGCAACCUGGUGGCGAGUCCGUCGCGGUCCGCACCGUCGGCAGCCCAGCUCCGCUCCGCGCGCCUCCGCUGGCCCGUCGCGGUGCCCGCCACGUCCACGUCCCACACUGCGGGCCCCCGUCUUCAGGAGGCUGGGCGCGCGCCCCUCAUGCCGACUGGACACCUGUUGACUGGAGCGGUCCUGGCCGCCACCGCGGGGUCGGCGAUGCGCCGGUGACCGUGACCACACAGUCGGAGCGCGCCGGUCCAGCCGCGGGACCGUCAUCGGUUGGAAGAAAGUCAACCAAGCAGGCUAGUAGCGAACCCCUUCGGUCUCGGCCGGAGUGACGCUCUGGAUAAUCCCCGCUGUCAUCCUGCGAGGCGUCCUUCGUCCCAGCGCUCCCGGCGCGACCUUCCUCUCGGCAGCAGCGGCAGCAGCGCCCACACAACACACACACACGGCCACCACACGCCACUGUUCCGGUGUCAUCCGGACGCCGCCGGACCACCAGCGGCACCAUUCAUAGAUCAGUAAGGUUGCCGGAUCACGAGCACGCCAUAUGCAACAGCAGCAGGGCCGCUCUGCAUGAGCCGUUUUAGGGGUCGAACGGGGAUAACGAUCUAAAGUUUCAGGAGCCACGGGACCAGCGAUGCGCACCAAGAGGGGUUUCUGCCUGGCCGGCACGGGGCUGGCCCUGGGGCUCGCCGCAUUGUUUGGCGCCUUCUACGCCGGCCCCGCGCUGCUCAAGAAGCUCGUCGUGGAGGUAAGGUAUCACCCAGAAA